UACGUAGGUGGCAAGCGAUACUCGGAAUCACUAGGCGUAAAGCGCAGGUAAGGAGGUUUGGGUAAGUCCUAUUGUGAAAGCUCCCGGCUUAACUGGGAGAGGUCAAUGGAAACUACCAGGCUAGAGUGCGGUAGAGGUAGCUGGAAUUCCCGGUGUAGCGGUGAAAUGCGUAGAUAUCGGGAGGAAUACCUAUGGCGAAAGCAGGCUACUGGACCGUCACUGACUCUGAUCUGCGAAAGCUAGGGGAGCAAACAGG
rnacentral:rRNA from 1 species